AACAUAGAUAUAAUAAUGGAUGUAUGUUAGUGUUUUCAAACUUUGCAACUUUUUCACAAGAUUUUUCUCAUUAAGUUUGUGCCAGAAGAUUUUAAUGACACUUAACCCCUGAGUCUAUAUAUGCACUAUAUUUUCCGAAGGUAUUUUAGGUUUCUUUUUUAGAAUAAAAAUUACAUUCUAUUAGCACCUUUAGUUAAAUUUAUAAGCCCUACGUCUUUGGAAAUUUCUAUAUUUUGAAUUUUCAUACUUAUUAGUUGAUUGCUAUGAAGUGGUUUGGCCGGUUUUACAGAUAAAACUUUUUUUUAUUAAAAAAAGAAGAAGAUAUUUUUUAGGUAGUAUAUAAAUUAUAUAUGAUAGUAUUGAAUAGGGUUAGUAUCUAUAGAGAAGGCCCUAAGUAUUAAGAAUAGAGAAGAAAUAAUUACCAUUAGAUUUCAGGAAAUAGACGGCGAGAUUUGAGUGUGAUUUAAUUAUUUUGCUGAUUUUAUAAUUCAUUAAAUAACAUACAAAAAUUCGGCAAGGUUAAAUUAGUACUUUACUAUUCCCGUCGAUUGAUUCACCAUACUAAAUCCCGGAUUUGUAGCGUAUUCCAAAUGAUUGCUGGGAGUAAAUUGCAUCUGUCAUAUCAUUAAUCAUUUGAACUUCAUUCCAAUUUAUUCGACGAAUCUCCAGUAUCUCUCCAAAAAUAUUAUAUUUGCAGUGCAAUUCUUCAACAUUCCGGCGAAGAAAACACUGAAGGGUCAAGAAGAAAUCCAUUAUGGCGUAUGUUCAAAAGACACUAGCAAAAUGAUGGACAUGAUGGCGUGGGUGUUGAUGUCGAUUAAGAAAGUGUUUUUAUUGGUAUUGUAUCUUGAUCAAGAAAAUCUUGGCCCCUAUCAACGAUGCUGGUGGUCCAAGCGCAUGCCUCGGCGCUGUAGCGCCGGCUGCCCAUCUCGCCGAUCCAACCCCCAGGCCGCACAAGUGUACUUCGUGUGUAAUGUUGAAUUAGUAUACGAAUUUUUUCAUCUGGAUUUUCUGUUCAUUGAAAAAUUAUGUUCUGUUCAUUAUAAAUUGAGUUUUGUUCAUCGUGAUGGGUUUCUAUUCAUCGAAGAAUUAUACUUUGUUCAUUAGAAUUUGAGUUUUGUUCAUCGAAAAAUUGUGAUAUGUUCAUUCAAAAAUUGUGUUUUGUUAAUAGAAAAAUUAUGUUUGUUCAUUGAAAAA